GUUUGGCCCUUGGAUUCUUCGUUUUCAGGUCUCAGGUAGUGCCGCAACUGUCGUGUAAUCGGACACGAUAAUGGUAAUUAUUAGCUGGUUCGACGGAAACAUUACCACACAGGGUGGACGGAAUGCUGGAACAUCGCGGGGAAAGGAUCGGAAAGAUAUUGUUGGCCCGACGUUUGCGUGAUUCGGUGAUAGCCCCGCGGGAAAAUCCUUUGCGCGUAGUUGUUACGCGAAACGGUCUUCUGCUGCGCUGUGAGCGAAAUGCUAAUGGGUGUUUUAGCAGUGCGCGGACUGUCUGUAGGAGAACUAAGAAUUUAUGCCAAGAUGUUUAACUUUUGAAAUCAACUACUUUAUAGUAAGCUCUGUACUUAAAAUUUAAUAUAAAAAAA